UGAACGACUGCUAAGACUGGAUAGGAGGGGAAGGGGCAUCUUUUUUGUUUUUAAAGACCUAGCAAUAGGUAUGCUUAGGGAGGAGCUUGCGUCACAUUAGUUAGUUGGUGGGGUAAAGGCUUACCAAGACUAUGAUGUGUAGCCGGGCUGAGAGGUUGAACGGCCACAUUGGGACUGAGACACGGCCCAAACUCCUACGGGAGGCAGCAGUAGGGAAUUUUCGGCAAUGGAGGAAACUCUGACCGAGCAACGCCGCGUGAACGAUGAAGUAUUUCGGUACGUAAAGUUCUUUUAUUAGGGAAGAAUAAAUGAUGGAAAAAUCAUUCUGACGGUACCUAAUGAAUAAGCCCCGGCUAACUAUGUGCCAGCAGCCGCGGUAAUACAUAGGGGGCAAGCGUUAUCCGGAAUUAUUGGGCGUAAAGGGUGCGUAGGCGGUUAAAUAAGUUUAUGGUCUAAGUGCAAUGCUUAACAUUGUGAUGCUAUAAAAACUGUUUAGCUAGAGUAAGAUAGAGGCAAGUGGAAUUCCAUGUGUAGUGGUAAAAUGCGUAAAUAUAUGGAGGAACACCAGUAGCGAAGGCGGCUUGCUGGGUCUUUACUGACGCUGAGGCACGAAAGCGUGGGGAGCAAACAGGAUUAGAUACCCUGGUAGUCCACGCCGUAAACGAUGAGUACUAAAUGUUGGGUAAAACCAGUGUUGAAGUUAACACAUUAAGUACUCCGCCUGAGUAGUACGUACGCAAGUAUGAAACUUAAAGGAAUUGACGGGACUCCGCACAAGCGGUGGAUCAUGUUGUUUAAUUCGAAGGUACCCGAAAAACCUCACCAGGUCUUGACAUGCUUCUGCAAAGCUGUAGAAACACAGUGGAGGUUAUCAGUUGCACAGGUGGUGCAUGGUUGUCGUCAGCUCGUGUCGUGAGAUGUUGGGUUAAGUCCCGCAACGAGCGCAACCCUUAUUGUUAGUUGCCAGCACGUAAUGGUGGGGACUUUAGCAAGACUGCCAGUGAUAAAUUGGAGGAAGGUGGGGACGACGUCAAAUCAUCAUGCCCCUUAUGACCUGGGCUACAAACGUGAUACAAUGGGCUGUUACAAAGGGUAACCUGAAACCCAAGUUUUUUGGCGAAUCUCAAAAAAACAGUCUCCAUUCGGAAUUGAAAUCGGCGAACCCGACUUCCGUGAUUGUGGAAUCGCUCGGAAUCCCCAGAGCCGCGUUGUCCCGGGUAGAAACUUUCUCGGGGUUUGUACACACCGCCCGUCA
rnacentral:rRNA from 1 species